GCGUAAAGGGCGCGUAGGCGGCAGUACAAGUCUGGUGUGAAAUCCUCCGGCUCAACCGGAGAGACGCGCUGGAAACUGUGCUGCUUGAGUUUAGGAGGGGGAGCUGGAAUUCCUGGUGUAGGGGUGAAAUCUGUAGAGAUCAGGAAGAACACCGGAGGCGAAGGCGAGCUCCUGGCCAUAGACUGACGCUGAGGCGCGAAAGCGUGGGGAGCGAACAGGAUUAGAUACCCUGGUAGUCCACGCUGUAAACGAUGUGCACUAGGUGUCGGGGGGAUACUCUCGGUGCCGCAGCAAACGCGUUAAGUGCACCGCCUGGGGAGUAUGCUCCAAGGGUGAAACUCAAAGGAAUUGACGGGGGCCCGCACAAGCGGUGGAGCAUGUGGUUUAAUUCGAUGAUACGCGAGAAACCUUACCAGGGUUUGACAUAUAACUGACCGGUGUAGAGAUACAUCCUCCCUUCGGGGCAGUUAUACAGGUGCUGCAUGGCUGUCGUCAGCUCGUG
rnacentral:rRNA from 2 species